UCUACCAGUAGGGAGUUUAUCCUUCACACCAGGAAAGGGCCACAUCGUUGUGCUCCAUGUGUGUGGGUAGAGGGACCUGCUGUCCUUUUGUAACCUGUGACUCUUCAGAGCAGCAGCCUUCAGCCAGUCAGACAGCUGAUAGGAAAUCUUACAACCAUGGCAAAGGGACAGACCACCUCUGCACUGGGGUGUGGUCCCCAAGGGCUUAUUCCUUUCUGCCAAGGCAGGAACACUGCAGGAGGAAAACCAGCUAUGGCCAGUUCUGCCUCUGGGCAUGCAUGCAUAAAUCCUGUUAAUGUUAAAAAGACCUGGCCCUCUACCAUGGAUCACUCACUUUUUUUGGUGGCAUUUAACUGUAAUCUCAGAUAAAAUGAAUGGGAAAAAUAGAUUUCUACAUUUUGACAGCUCCAUUCUCUGCAAAUUAACUAUAGUUUGAACUGUAUCUUUGCCAUACUAUCACCAUUCUGGCAUAUCUUAGUGUGUAAAGCUACUGAAUCUGCAAACCUGGAUGAUCAGAUUUGUUUGUAGGGAUUACAAAAGCCAACCCAACCUUGCUGAAUCAAGUUGAGAAGUUAAUAUGUAAAGGACUUAAAUAUAUCACAGCAGCAAAAGUAAGUCAAAUCCACCCUUUCAGGGAAUAUACUGAAGUAUUUUGGUGAAGUUUGAUACAGCAGCUUUGCUGUAGUGUCUGCACACUUCAGACUUGCCCAUCAUCAGACAGAAGGCAGGUGCCUUCAGCAGGCAACAUUGCUCCUUGUGUUUCUCUGGUCUGUAUUCCAUUUUUGCCUGUUCUCCAACAUUUUAUUCCUAAGUGGGGUGUUGGACCAUGACCAGAGUCCCUCAUUGCCUUUUCACAAGCUUUACUUUUAAGUAAACGAGGUGUCACGGCCGUGGUGAUCACAAGCAGCUGCAGCUGGUGCUCUGUGUGAAGCCAACCUGCGGGGCCCCAAUUAAAGCACUGCUCUCAUGCUCUCUGCUUUUCCCCUGCUCUGUGCUUUCCUCGGGGCUGGCACAGGACCGGGAUGCUCUCUCCUCCCUCCAUCCCUGCCUAGGGCACCCAGCCGAGGGGAGAAGCUGGUUCAGCCAAGUGCCUGCCCCCCGUUUGUGAGCCAGCACCCAAAGACCGCUCUAGGGCGUGAUUCCUUAGCAACUGCACGUUAGUAAAGCCCACAAAGGGCUGGCAAAGGACAGCUUUUAUCUCCACUUUUAAGUACCCUGUUCCUUUACAGCUGAGUGUGAGCCAGGCAGAGGCAUAACUUUCCAACUCGAUGCAUGAAGUAUGCUAAAUGCAAGAAGGAAGGAAGAUAAGCCUUUUGAUAAGGGGCUCACUGAAAAACCUGACAAAGACUUUCUGGACGUGUCUCUGAUCUGCUAUUCCAAGGUAAUUUUUCAGCCAAAACCAAAGUUAGCUGCUUAUACUUUCUGAUUAUUUUUGUGAGAUGGAAGAAACAGUGCCCAUGGUGUGAUUACAGACAUGAAGUAUCAUCUGGAUAGGAGAAAUCCUUACCCUCCAGUACAUGGGACAGUAUCUGUGGCAGGAGAGGCUCUACUGCCUCAGUUGUAAUGAUGCAAUAAAAUCCAGCUAUGGGCAGAUCUACUCAGCUGCACCUGGGGAAUGCGGAUAAUUUCUGGAAGAGCAGGAGGAGUAUUCCACAGCUUUUUCAGGAGGCUGAGGCUGGUGCUGCCAGCAGCCAGAGUGCUAUGGAGGCUUGCUGAAUGGUGAAAUAAAUGUAUGCAGUCAUCUCAAAAGCUUUAGAAAGGCAAAGCUCUGCAAGGCAGGAGCUAUUAGUCUGCACAUACAACCAGGGUUGCCCCAUCCCAGAUGCAGAAUCCAGCACUUUCCCCUGUUGAUCCUCAUACAGUUGGUGAUUCCUCAUCUCUCUAAUUUGUCAAGGUUUUUCUGCAGGGCCUCUCUACCCCAAAGGGAGUUGACAGCUCAUCUCAAUUUAGUGCUGUUGACAAGCUUAGUAUCCCUUCCAGUCCUGUGUCCAAGUCAUGAAUGAAGAUGUUGAGCAGCACAGGGCCGAGGAUGGAGCCCUGUGGAACCCGAGUGGUGACAGGUCCCCAGUCUGUUGUCACCCCAUUCACUACAUGCCUUUGUACCUGACCUGGGGGCCAGCUGCUCACCCGAAGAGUAACAUGAUUAUCCAGCUGUGGGAUGGGCAUUUUGUUCAAAAGGAUGUUGUGACAGUAGCAAAAAUUUUGCUAAAGCCAGAAAUGAGCUUGACAUGAGCUUGAAAUGAGAUUGACAGGCCUGUAGUUUUUGAAAUCCUCCUUGCCUUCUUGAAAACUGGAACAAUGUUCACCAACUUCCAGUCAGCUCCAAAUUCCCAAGAUCACUUUUAAAUGAUUGAGAGAGGCUUUGCAAUUACAUCAACUAUCUCUUUGAGGACUCCCAGAUUAAUCCCCUCAAGCUCUAUAGAUUUACAGGGAUCCAGCUGGAGCAGCAGAUCCCACAAAAUUUCAGGGUCAGCUGGGAGUUGAUCUUUCUCACAGUCAUUGUCCUCCAGCUCAGGGCUCUAAGAACCCCUUGGUUCAUCACUGGUGCUGAAGACAGAGGUAAAGCAUUAAACCCCUCUGCCUUGUCCCUGCCCCUGUUUGUGAGGUGACCAUCCUCAUCCUCAGGAAUGAGCUGCUGUUGUUUCUACCCUGCCUAUUGCCAUUAAUAUAUUUGGAAAAACGUUUUCUUGUCCCUCACAUUUCUGGCAGCUUCAACUCUAGUUCAGCUUUGGGCACAUGGAUUUUCUCCCUCCAGUGGUGAGCAGCAUUUCUGUAUUCCUCUAUGUCACCUGGCCUUGCUGACCCUGGGCAUACACUCUGAACUGGGUUACUUGGGAACAUUGCUGCUCAGUUAGCACUUAUUUAAGAAACUGGGAGGGAAUCUAUGCAAACAUUUGUCUCUGUUAACUCAAGACAACAAACAGUGAAUAAAGAUUAAAUAUAAGGGUGGAAUUGGUUGCCUAGGUAGUUUUUCUGGACUGUUGCAAGCACCUUCUAGGGGAGAAAAAUCUUAUCACAUAAUUUUACUUACAGGUUUCUGACCUUUUCCAAGUAUGUUUUGCUGGUUUUGGACUAACAAGUCUGCAGGUUUGGAAGAAGGAGGCAAUCUUUGGCUUUUUGACAGAGAUUCAGAAUUUUGAUUGUUGGUGUUUGAACAGGAGUCACCAGUCCCCAUGUGAACGGGUGACUUGCACUAUUGGCCAUACAAAUUAUAGAAGCUACAUUCAGAUAAGUGCAGCCCUUCUAAUCUCUCUGUGUGUAUGUACACACUGAUCAGUCUCCUAGAAGAAGCUAUUUUUGCAGCUGUGUAUUACUUCCCCUAAAAACUCAAUGCUUUUCCAAGACUCACUAAUUAAAAUUAGCAAGAUACCUGGGUAACUUUCUCUAAAGAGGAUGCUGAUUAAUUUCCUUUUCCUUGUCCUGAACUGAUCUGAUUAUCCUAAAUAAAUUGUAUCAGCACAGUUUUAUAGCAUUUGUAAGGGUUUUGUGUCAUCACUGAGCCUUGACCUCUUGGGAUGUCUUCUGGCUUAAACAACCAUUUAUUUUGGCCAGUUAUAUUUUUCUAUGAGAACAGCUUUU